CGUGCAGGCGGUUUCGUAAGUCGGACGUGAAAGCUCCUGGCUUAACUGGGAGAGGCCGUUCGAGACUGCGGAACUUGAGGUCGGGAGAGGGACGUGGAAUUCCCGGUGUAGUGGUGGAAUGCGUAGAUAUCGGGAGGAACACCAGUGGCGAAGGCGGCGUCCUGGCCCGUACCUGACGCUAAGACGCGAAAGCGUGGGUAGCGAACG
rnacentral:rRNA from 1 species